rnacentral:rRNA from 1 species
GACGAACCGUGCGAACGUUAUUCGGAAUCAUUGGGCUUAAAGCGCGUGUAGGCGGGUCCGCGCGUCUGUCGCUGAAAUCCCCCGGCUCAACCGGGGAACGGGCGCGGAUACGACGGGCCUGGAGGGGCAUAGGGGGACCUGGAACUUCCGGUGGAGCGGUGAAAUGCGUUGAGAUCGGAAGGAACGCCCGUGGCGAAAGCGAGGUCCUGGAUGCCUACUGACGCUGAGACGCGAAAGCCAGGGGAGCGAACGGG